AAAAAAAACUGAAACAUCCUCUCUUCAUAUUUCUUCAUCAUUUCCAAUAUAUUAAUCAUAACUAAAGUUUCUUUAAAUUUCCAUUUAGUAGUUACUGGAGAUAAGUUCCUCCGAUUUAAUCGCCAAGGGAAAUUCUUAUUUUUCCUCUCGUCAGAGUUCUGCAAGCAAGUUGCUGGAUAAAGCUUUUAAAGUUCGACUGGGUAGAGGAUUUUAUGGGGAGUGCCUGGGAGUUAGAGCAGAUGGCUAUUCCAACUUAGCUGAUGAAAUUGGCAGGCAGCUUAGCGUAAAAAGUGCUGCAGCUGGUCUAAGGCCCAUAGGAGCUGUUAUCUACAUGCAC